GCGUUGUCCGGAUUUAUUGGGCGUAAAGAGCGUGUAGGCGGCCAGAUAGGUCGGUUGUGAAAACUGGAGGCUCAACCUCCAGACGUCGACCGAAACCAUUUGGCUAGAGUCCGGAAGAGGAGAGUGGAAUUCCUGGUGUAGCGGUGAAAUGCGCAGAUAUCAGGAAGAACACCCGUGGCGAAGGCGGCUCUCUGGGACGGUACUGACGCUGAGACGCGAAAGCGUG
rnacentral:rRNA from 1 species